rnacentral:sRNA from 1 species
GCUGGGCAUGGUGGUGCAUGCCUGUAAUCCCAGGGGCUAAGGAGGCUGGGAGAGGAGGACCACAAUUUGGAGCCAGCCUCAGCAAUUUAGUGAGGCCUUAUCUCAA